rnacentral:rRNA from 1 species
GAUGAACGCUGGCGGCGUGCCUAAUACAUGCAAGUCGAGCGAACGGACGAGAAGCUUGCUUCUCUGAUGUUAGCGGCGGACGGGUGAGUAACACGUGGAUAACCUACCUAUAAGACUGGGAUCACUUCGGGAAACCGGAGCUAAUACCGGAUAAUAUUUUGAACCGCAUGGUUCAAAAGUGAAAGACGGUCUUGCUGUCACUUAUAGAUGGAUCCGCGCUGCAUUAGCUAGUUGGUAAGGUAACGGCUUACCAAGGCAACGAUGCAUAGCCGACCUGAGAGGGGGAUCGGCCACACUGGAACGGAGACACGGUCCAGACGACUACGGGAGGCAGCAGUAGGGAAUGUUCGGCAAUGGGCGGAAGCCUGGCGGAGCAACGCCGCGUGAGUGAUGAAGGUCUUCGGAGCGUAAAACCCGGUUAUUAGGGAAGAACAUAUGUGUAAGUAACUGUGCACAUCUUGACGGUACCUAGUCAGAAAGCCACGGCUAACUACGUG